GAAAAGAAACCAACAGGGAUUACCUCAGUAACGGCGAGUGAAGCGGUAACAGCUCAAAUUUGAAAGCUAGCUCUUUUAGGGUUCGCAUUGUAAUUUGUAGAAGAUGCUUCGGGUGUGGCCCCGGUCUAAGUUCCUUGGAACAGGACGUCAUAGAGGGUGAGAAUCCCGUAUGUGACUGGGUGCUUUCGCUCAUGUGAAGCUCUUUCGACGAGUCGAGUUGUUUGGGAAUGCAGCUCAAAAUGGGUGGUAAAUUUCAUCUAAAGCUAAAUAUUGGCCAGAGACCGAUAGCGCACAAGUAGAGUGAUCGAAAGAUGAAAAGCACUUUGGAAAGAGAGUUAAACAGUACGUGAAAUUGUUGAAAGGGAAGCGCUUGCAACCAGACUUGCGCGCUGAUGAUCAUCCGGGCUUCUGUCCGGUGCACUCGUCUGCGCUCAGGCCAGCAUCGGUUUCGGUGGUGGGAUAAAGGCCUUGGGAAUGUAGCUCCUCUCGGGGAGUGUUAUAGCCCUCGGUGCAAUGCCGCCUAUCGGGACCGAGGACCGCGCUUCGGCUAGGAUGCUGGCGUAAUGGUUGUAAGCGACCCGUCUUGAAACACGGACCAAGGAGUCUAACAUCUAUGCGAGUGUUUGGGUGUCAAACCCAUACGCGUAAUGAAAGUGAACGGAGGUGAGAACCCUUAAGGGUGCAUCAUCGACCGGUCCUGAUGUCUUCGGAUGGAUCUGAGUAAGAGCAUAGCUGUUGGGACCCGAAAGAUGGUGAACUAUGCGUGAAUAGGGUGAAGCCAGAGGAAACUCUGGUGGAGGCUCGCAGCGGUUCUGACGUGCAAAUCGAUCGUCAAAUUUGCGUAUAGGGGCGAAAGACUAAUCGAACCAUCUAG
rnacentral:rRNA from 1 species